AAACAUGUCUUUUUGUAAUUUUAUUUAAAGUCUAACCUGCCCAUUGAAUAAUUUUAAAAGGCUGCGGUAUUUUGACCGUACAAAGGUAGCAUAAUCAUUAGUUUUUUAAUUGAAAACUCGUAUGAAUGGUUUAAUGAAAUAUUUUCUGUUUCAUGAAAAUUUAUAUAGAAAUUAAUUUUUUAGUAAAAAAGCUAAAAUUUAAUUAAAAGACGAGAAGACCCUAUAGAGUUUUAUAUAAUAUAUUCUAUAAAUUAUUUAUAAAAUUUAAAUUUUUAUUAUUUUUUAUAUUUUGUUGGGGUGACAGUAAAAUUUUUUAACCUUUUAUUAUUUUUUAACAAUGAUUAUUGAAUAAUUGAUCCAUUUUUAAUGAUUAAAAGAUUAAAUUACCUUAGGGAUAACAGCGUAAUUUUUUUGUAGAGUUCUUAUCGAUAAAAAAUUUUGCGACCUCGAUGUUGGAUUAAGAAUAAUUUUAGGUGUAGAAGCUUAUUAAUUAGGUCUGUUCGACCUUUAAAUUCUUACGUGAUCUGAGUUCAGACCGGA
rnacentral:rRNA from 1 species